rnacentral:lncRNA from 1 species
GAAUAUUCACAAGGGGUUGUAUUAUAUCCAUUUCCAGUCAAGUCUGUCGACUUUGCAGUCCUUCGCAAUUGCUGCUGCGUUGAUUCAUCCGCGUAGUCCUGUUAUUCGAUCCAAAGUGUAUAGGGCUUGAGGCGAGCUGAUGAGGAAUUAGUGUGUAUAAAAACUGCUACCAUUAGCAAGUAAAAGGUUACAGCAUACGUACAUGUUACGAUAGUUUUGAUUUGAGGUGUUGCAGAGAUAGAUUAUUAUUGCACUUGUAACCACAUAUUUUAUGGUGUCAGGCUCAGGGUUUUUAAUCCCCUAUAGUCUGCAUAUGAAUAUCAUACAUAGUAAUAUAGUUAUUCAAACCUCAUAGGGAUCAAGGAGGCCCUUUCUUGGAUCAAAGAAUUGGGUUAUACUAAUGGUAUAGUGGAAUCGGAUUGUAAGAAAGCUUGCGACGAGGUUACGUUGGGUGGCAGAAAUAUUCUGGAGAUGGGGAUUAUUGCUGAAUUCUGCCGACACGAACUCUCGUCUCUUCCGGGUUUUAGUGUUCGUCAUGUCAAGAGGGAUCGCAAUGUCAUUGCUCAUAGCUUAGCAAAAGCCGCGAGAGAUAUUACUUCACAUCAUGUAUGGAAUGAACCUCCGUCCUUUGUGAUGGGUCAUCUUCACAUUCCAUGUUCUUGUGAUCAAUAAAUUAUCCUCGCCUUCUUAAAAAAAAAAAAAACCUCAGUUAUAACAUCUAUCUCAGCGUUACAGCUAUCGGUUCAUGUACCAAUAUUU